rnacentral:rRNA from 1 species
UACGUAGGGUGCGAGCGUUGUCCGGAAUUAUUGGGCGUAAAGGGCUCGUAGGCGGUUUGUCGCGUCGGGAGUGAAAACCAGGUGCUUAACACCUGGCUUGCUUUCGAUACGGGCAGACUAGAGGUAUUCAGGGGAGAACGGAAUUCCUGGUGUAGCGGUGAAAUGCGCAGAUAUCAGGAGGAACACCGGUGGCGAAGGCGGCAUCCUGGACCAAUAUUGACGCUGAGGAGCGAAAGCCAGGGGAGCAAACGGG